rnacentral:rRNA from 1 species
GAUGAACGCUGGCGGCGUGCCUAAUACAUGCAAGUCGAGCGAACAGACGAGGAGCUUGCUCCUCUGCCGUUAGCGGCGGACGGGUGAGUAACACGUGGAUAACCUACCUAUAAGACUGGGAUAACUUCGGGAAACCGGAGCUAAUACCGGAUAAUAUAUUGAACCGCAGGGUUCAAUAGUGAAAGACGGUUUUGCUGUCACUUAUAGAUGGAUCCGCGCCGCAUUAGCUAGUUGGUAAGGUAACGGCUUACCAAGGCAACGAUGCGUAGCCGACCUGAGAGGGUGAUCGGCCACACUGGAACUGAGACACGGUCCAGACUCCUACGGGAGGCAGCAGUAGGGAAUCUUCCGCAAUGGGCGAAAGCCUGACGGAGCAACGCCGCGUGAGUGAUGAAGGUCUUCGGAUCGUAAAACUCUGUUAUUAGGGAAGAACAAAUGUGUAAGUAACUAUGCACGUCUUGACGGUACCUAAUCAGAAAGCCACGGCUAACUACGUG